AUGUGGGCUUUGAGCUUUUUUCAUUUUAAAUGUUGGCAGUUAGGCCUGCUAAUUUCAUUGAUUAGGAAGAGAGUAGAAAAAAACCAAACCGGAUUGCUCAGGUCGAAGGCCCAAAAAAGGAAAAUAACUGAAACUACUCAGCCAGGGUCAAAAGGAAUUGAAGAGCCGGGAAAGUUACACAUAGUGAUUUCUGUUGAAAUAUAUUCCCCGCCUUCCUCCAUCAGUUUAAACUUUUGGAGUAACUGGCUGGAGCAUGAAUUCAAUAUGGUAUCAGAGCCAAGAGGUCUUGAGUCAAGACUCUGCCAACGCAAAAUUAAAUAA
rnacentral:rRNA from 1 species